GUGGGGAAUAUUGGACAAUGGGCGAAAGCCUGAUCCAGCCAUGCCGCGUGUGUGAAGAAGGUCUUCGGAUUGUAAAGCACUUUAAGUUGGGAGGAAGGGUAGUAACCUAAUACGUUGCUACUUUGACGUUACCGACAGAAUAAGCACCGGCUAACUUCGUGCCAGCAGCCGCGGUAAUACGAAGGGUGCAAGCGUUAAUCGGAAUUACUGGGCGUAAAGCGCGCGUAGGUGGUUCAGUAAGUUGGAAGUGAAAUCCCCGGGCUCAACCUGGGAACUGCCUCCAAAACUGCAUGACUAGAGUACGGUAGAGGGUAGUGGAAUUUCCUGUGUAGCGGUGAAAUGCGUAGAUAUAGGAAGGAACACCAGUGGCGAAGGCGACUACCUGGACUGAUACUGACACUGAGGUGCGAAAGCGUGGGGAUCAAACAGGAUUAGAAACCCGUGUAGUCC
rnacentral:rRNA from 1 species